GAUGAACGCUGGCGGCGUGCCUAAUACAUGCAAGUCGAGCGAACGGACGAGAAGCUUGCUUCUCUGAUGUUAGCGGCGGACGGGUGAGUAACACGUGGAUAACCUACCUAUAAGACUGGGAUAACUUCGGGAAACCGGAGCUAAUACCGGAUAAUAUUUUGAACCGCAUGGUUCAAAAGUGAAAGACGGUCUUGCUGUCACUUAUAGAUGGAUCCGCGCUGCAUUAGCUAGUUGGUAAGGUAACGGCUUACCAAGGCAACGAUGCAUAGCCGACCUGAGAGGGUGAUCGGCCACACUGGAACUGAGACACGGUCCAGACUCCUACGGGAGGCAGCAGUAGGGAAUCUUCCGCAAUGGGCGAAAGCCUGACGGAGCAACGCCGCGUGAGUGAUGAAGGUCUUCGGAUCGUAAAACUCUGUUAUUAGGGAAGAACAUAUGUGUAAGUAACUGUGCACAUCUUGACGGUACCUAAUCAGAAAGCCACGGCUAACUACGUGCCAGCAGCCGCGGUAAUACGUAGGUGGCAAGCGUUAUCCGGAAUUAUUGGGCGUAAAGCGCGCGUAGGCGGUUUUUUAAGUCUGAUGUGAAAGCCCACGGCUCAACCGUGGAGGGUCAUUGGAAACUGGAAAACUUGAGUGCAGAAGAGGAAAGUGGAAUUCCAUGUGUAGCGGUGAAAUGCGCAGAGAUAUGGAGGAACACCAGUGGCGAAGGCGACUUUCUGGUCUGUAACUGACGCUGAUGUGCGAAAGCGUGGGGAUCAAACAGGAUUAGAUACCCUGGUAGUCCACGCCGUAAACGAUGAGUGCUAAGUGUUAGGGGUUUCCGCCCCUUAGUGCUGCAGCUAACGCAUUAAGCACUCCGCCUGGGGAGCACGACCGCAAGGUUGAAACUCAAAGGAAUUGACGGGGACCCGCACAAGCGGUGGAGCAUGUGGUUUAAUUCGAAGCAACGCGAAGAACCUUACCAAAUCUUGACAUCCUUUGACAACUCUAGAGAUAGAGCCUUCCCCUUCGGGGGACAAAGUGACAGGUGGUGCAUGGUUGUCGUCAGCUCGUGUCGUGAGAUGUUGGGUUAAGUCCCGCAACGAGCGCAACCCUUAAGCUUAGUUGCCAUCAUUAAGUUGGGCACUCUAAGUUGACUGCCGGUGACAAACCGGAGGAAGGUGGGGAUGACGUCAAAUCAUCAUGCCCCUUAUGAUUUGGGCUACACACGUGCUACAAUGGACAAUACAAAGGGCAGCGAAACCGCGAGGUCAAGCAAAUCCCAUAAAGUUGUUCUCAGUUCGGAUUGUAGUCUGCAACUCGACUACAUGAAGCUGGAAUCGCUAGUAAUCGUAGAUCAGCAUGCUACGGUGAAUACGUUCCCGGGUCU
rnacentral:rRNA from 1 species